GACGAACGCUGGCGGCGUGCUUAACACAUGCAAGUCGAACGGGCCAUGUCCCCUUUUUUUUUGGGGGUGGGGCGAGUGGCGAACUGGUGAGUAACACGUGAGUAACCUGCCCCUCAUUACGGGAUAACACCUUGACAGGGAGGCCAAACCGGGGGGGUCUGGCCUGCUCGCAUGGGCGGGCUUGAAAAUAUUCGACCGGCUUAGGUUGUUUUGGUUGGUGGUGGGCGCGCGGCCUUUCAGCGUGUGGGUGGCGUGAUGGCCUGCAAAGGCUUAGACGGGUAGGCGGCGUGAGGAGGUGAGCGGUCACAGUGGGUGUGAGACAGGCCCCAGACUCCUGCGGGGGGCAGGAGUGGGGUAUAUUGCACAAUGGGCGCAAGCCUGAUACAGCUACGCCGCGUGAGGGAAAGAUGCCUUCGGGUUGUAAACCUCUAUCGCCAGUGAAGAAGGAGUUGCUCUUUGUGGUGGGGUUGACGGUAGCUGGGUUAAUGAAGCGCCGGCUAACUACGUG
rnacentral:rRNA from 1 species